ensembl:lncRNA
GCCCGGUCUAUGAGGCAAGAGAUUGUGGCAGAGAUUGUGUAUUAUUCAGGUUUUGAUUGUGACAUCUGCAGCGAUGGUGACUUAAUCUUUGCUGCUCUUCGCUUCAGAAUCGCUGGCUGCUCAACGCCUUUUCAAAGUUUAGAUCCCAUUUGAAGAGAAAAAAUGUGACAGCUGUUCACCCCCCUUCCUUUCCCAUGGAGAGUCUGUUGCACGAUGGAACGAAACAGAGUGUCAGCAAACAAUACAGAGAGACAACAGUAAGUGAUCAAAACAGCAAGUUUAUUGACAGGAGGAGCAGCAGGAUAAAAGGCAACAGUCCGAGGUUGAGUAAUAUGGAGAAUUAAAAGUUUCAGGUCUCUUAGCUGUAGAUAAUGGGGAAUUGUCUCUUGCAGGUGAUCUAGAGGAGCAGUGGAGAACUGGUAUUAUACAAAUAUUUUAAUAUGCAUCUGUAAGUAAGAAAAAAA